GUUGUAUGGUUAAGUGACUAAGCGUACACGGUGGAUGCCUGGGCAGUCAGAGGCGAUGAAGGACGUACUAACUUGCGAUAAGCGCAGAUAAGGCAGUAAGAGCCGUUUGAGUCUGCGAUUUCCGAAUGGGGAAACCCAACUGCAUAAGCAGUUACUGUUAACUGAAUACAUAGGUUAACAGAGCAAACCGGGGGAACUGAAACAUCUAAGUACCCCGAGGAGAAGAAAUCAACCGAGAUUCCGGUAGUAGCGGCGAGCGAACCUGGAUUAGCCCUUAAGCACUCGGUGAAGUAGGUGAACAAGCUGGAAAGCUUGGCGAUACAGGGUGAUAGCCCCGUAACCGACGCUUCAUCGAGCGUGAAAUCGAGUAGGGCGGGACACGUGAUAUCCUGUCUGAAUAUGGGGGACCAUCCUCCAAGGCUAAAUACUCCUGACUGACCGAUAGUGAACCAGUACCGUGAGGGAAAGGCGAAAAGAACCCCUGUGAGGGGAGUGAAAUAGAACCUGAAACCGUGUACGUACAAGCAGUAGGAGCACCUUCGUGGUGUGACUGCGUACCUUUUGUAUAAUGGGUCAGCGACUUAUAUUCAGUGGCAAGGUUAACCGUAUAGGGGAGCCGUAGCGAAAGCGAGUCUUAACUGGGCGCUCAGUCUCUGGAUAUAGACCCGAAACCGGGUGAUCUAGCCAUGGGCAGGUUGAAGGUUGAGUAACAUCAACUGGAGGACCGAACCGACUAAUGUUGAAAAAUUAGCGGAUGACUUGUGGCUAGGGGUGAAAGGCCAAUCAAACUCGGAGAUAGCUGGUUCUCCCCGAAAGCUAUUUAGGUAGCGCCUCGGACGAAUACUACUGGGGGUAGAGCACUGUUAAGGCUAGGGGGUCAUCCCGACUUACCAACCCUUUGCAAACUCCGAAUACCAGUAAGUACUAUCCGGGAGACACACGGCGGGUGCUAACGUCCGUCGUGGAGAGGGAAACAACCCAGACCGCCAGCUAAGGUCCCAAAGUAUUGCUAAGUGGGAAACGAUGUGGGAAGGCUCAGACAGCUAGGAUGUUGGCUUAGAAGCAGCCAUCAUUUAAAGAAAGCGUAAUAGCUCACUAGUCGAGUCGGCCUGCGCGGAAGAUGUAACGGGGCUAAGCAAUACACCGAAGCUGCGGCAAUGUCUUUUAGAUAUUGGGUAGGGGAGCGUUCUGUAAGCCGUUGAAGGUGAAUCGUAAGGUUUGCUGGAGGUAUCAGAAGUGCGAAUGCUGACAUGAGUAACGACAAAGGGGGUGAAAAACCUCCUCGCCGGAAGACCAAGGGUUCCUGUCCAACGUUAAUCGGGGCAGGGUGAGUCGACCCCUAAGGUGAGGCCGAAAGGCGUAAUCGAUGGGAAACGGGUUAAUAUUCCCGUACUUCUGACUAUUGCGAUGGGGGGACGGAGAAGGCUAGGUGGGCCAGGCGACGGUUGUCCUGGUUCAAGUGCGUAGGCUUGAGAGUUAGGUAAAUCCGGCUCUCUCUAAGGCUGAGACACGACGUCGAGCUACUACGGUAGUGAAGUCAUUGAUGCCAUGCUUCCAGGAAAAGCCUCUAAGCUUCAGAUAGUCAGGAAUCGUACCCCAAACCGACACAGGUGGUCGGGUAGAGAAUACCAAGGCGCUUGAGAGAACUCGGGUGAAGGAACUAGGCAAAAUGGUACCGUAACUUCGGGAGAAGGUACGCUCUUGAUGGUGAAGUCCCUCGCGGAUGGAGCUGACGAGAGUCGCAGAUACCAGGUGGCUGCAACUGUUUAUUAAAAACACAGCACUGUGCAAAAUCGCAAGAUGACGUAUACGGUGUGACGCCUGCCCGGUGCCGGAAGGUUAAUUGAUGGGGUUAGCGCAAGCGAAGCUCUUGAUCGAAGCCCCGGUAAACGGCGGCCGUAACUAUAACGGUCCUAAGGUAGCGAAAUUCCUUGUCGGGUAAGUUCCGACCUGCACGAAUGGCGUAAUGAUGGCCACGCUGUCUCCACCCGAGACUCAGUGAAAUUGAAAUCGCUGUGAAGAUGCAGUGUACCCGCGGCUAGACGGAAAGACCCCGUGAACCUUUACUACAGCUUGGCACUGAACAUUGAACCUACAUGUGUAGGAUAGGUGGGAGGCUAUGAAGACGUGACGCCAGUUGCGUUGGAGCCGUCCUUGAAAUACCACCCUUGUAUGUUUGAUGUUCUAACUUAGACCCAUUAUCUGGGUUGAGGACAGUGCCUGGUGGGUAGUUUGACUGGGGCGGUCUCCUCCCAAAGAGUAACGGAGGAGCACGAAGGUGGGCUAAUCACGGUUGGACAUCGUGAGGUUAGUGCAAUGGCAUAAGCCCGCUUAACUGCGAGAAUGACGGUUCGAGCAGGUGCGAAAGCAGGUCAUAGUGAUCCGGUGGUUCUGUAUGGAAGGGCCAUCGCUCAACGGAUAAAAGGUACUCCGGGGAUAACAGGCUGAUACCGCCCAAGAGUUCAUAUCGACGGCGGUGUUUGGCACCUCGAUGUCGGCUCAUCACAUCCUGGGGCUGAAGUCGGUCCCAAGGGUAUGGCUGUUCGCCAUUUAAAGUGGUACGCGAGCUGGGUUUAGAACGUCGUGAGACAGUUCGGUCCCUAUCUGCCGUGGGCGUUGGAAGAUUGAAGGGGGCUGCUCCUAGUACGAGAGGACCGGAGUGGACGAACCUCUGGUGUUCGGGUUGUGUCGCCAGACGCAUUGCCCGGUAGCUAAGUUCGGAAUUGAUAAGCGCUGAAAGCAUCUAAGCGCGAAGCGAGCCCUGAGAUGAGUCUUCCCUGAUACUUUAAGUAUCCUAAAGGGUUGUUCGAGACUAGAACGUUGAUAGGCAGGGUGUGUAAGCGUUGUGAGGCGUUGAGCUAACCUGUACUAAUUGCCCGUGAGGCUUAACCAUACAACACCCAAGGGGUUUUGUA
rnacentral:rRNA from 1 species